rnacentral:rRNA from 1 species
UGGGGAAUAUUGGGCAAUGGGCGAAAGCCUGACCCAGCGACGCCGCGUGGGGGAAGAAGUCCCUCGGGAUGUAAACCCUUGUUGUACGGGACGAAGGAAGUGACGGUACCGUACGAGGAAGCCCCGGCAAACUACGUGCCAGCAGCCGCGGUAAUGCGUAGGGGGCGAGCGUUGUCCGGAAUCACUGGGCGUAAAGCGCACGUAGGCGGGCUGUUAAGUCGGCCGUGAAAGGCACUGGCUCAACCGGUGUUUGUCGGUCGAUACUGGCAGUCUGGAGUAUGGGAGAGGGAGCUGGGAUUCCCGGGGUAGCGGUGAAAUGCGUAGAUAUCGGGAGGAAGACCAGUGGCGAAGGCGGGGUCCUGGCGCAUGACUGACGCUGAGGUGCGAAAGCCGGGGGAGCGAACGG